rnacentral:lncRNA from 1 species
UGGCCUGCUGCCUGCUGGGCCGCUGGGGAUACGGGCCGAUACCGGGCCUGGCUUUAAUUGGCGGGCCGUGCCGUGCCGGCCUGUGGGCCUAGAGUGCGGCCCAAGCACGGCCUGCACCACCGUGCCGUGCCAGCCCGGGCCCAAUGAACUUCGGGCCGGGCCGGGCUAGGGCCGGGCCAAAAGAACGGGCUUCGGGCCGUGCUAGCGGGCUCGGGCUGCAUGCCCAGGUAUA